CUGUAAUGUCUCGAAGACAUCACCAAAGAUUGUGACCCUUGCAUUUGACAAGCCACUCCAUCCAGGUAUCUGCACAACAAGCGUGCAUCUAGGGUCUGCUAACAAGUUUCGUGAGUGGAUGGCCAAUGGAGAAAAUGAAAAUAAGGGAUGUCCCAUUGAAUCUGGUGCAAAGUCAACCAGGGAACCAAAUGGAUAUCCUUCUCUUCGAUGAUGCAUUCGAGACNNNCAGUGCAUAGAUGAGCAAAUCUAGCCUGCUCCAUCAAAUUGCGAACUGCCAAUGCUGGUCGAGGUAAGCC
rnacentral:misc_RNA from 1 species